rnacentral:rRNA from 1 species
GAUGAACGCUGGCGGCGUGCCUAAUACAUGCAAGUCGAGCGAACAGACGAUGAUCUUGCUGCUCUGACGUUAGCGGCGGACGGGUGAGUAACACGUGUAUAACCUACCUAUAAGACUGGUAUAACUUCGGGAAACCGGAUCUAAUACCGGAUAAGAUAUUGAACCGCAUGGUUCAAUAGUGAAAGACGGUUUUGCUGUCACUUAUAGAUGGAUCCGCGCCGCAUUAGCUAGUUGGUAAGGUAACGGCUUACCAAGGCAACGAUGCGUAGCCGACGUGAGAGGGUGAUAGGCCACACUGGAACUGAGCCACGGUCCAGACUCCUAAGGGAGGCAGCAGUAGGGAAUCUUCCGCAGUAGGCGAAAGCCUGACGGAGCAGCGCCGCGUGAAUGAUGAAGGUCUUCGGAUCGUAAAACUCUGUUACUAGGGAAGAACAGAUGUGUAAGUAAAUAUGCACGUCUUGACGGUACCUGAUAAGAAAGCAACGGCUAACUACGUG